GGGGGCGACCUGGCUUCGACGGGGGUGGAGAGGCUUAGAUAGCGUGCCGAGGACCCGAAACCUCGUUAAUAAUCGGGAAAAACCUCAAAAGCCAACGAUAACUCGUACGCUUUGGCCGCCUAGCAAUAGGUAGCCCGUCGAGGCCGAUGGUGCCUGCGCCGCCGGUCCCGAUGACAUCUAUAGCAGGCUAGCCCAGUGUUUGUGUUCGGGGGCACUACGGCGAAACUCUCUGAACUGGCCGUCUCGAGAUCCUGUCAGCCGGAGCUCAAGAGGGCGAGAUUAAUAGACUGACUACGCACGUAGAGAUCUUUGUUAAACUGCUUUCGGACGCGGGUUCGAUUCCCGCCGCCUCCACCA
rnacentral:tmRNA from 1 species